rnacentral:pre_miRNA from 1 species
AUAUGAAUCACCUAGGAAUCUCGUUAAAAUGCAGAUUCUGAUGCCACAGGUCUGAGGAAGGGCCUGAGCUCUGCAUUUCUAACAAGCUCUCAGGUGAUGCUGAU